rnacentral:rRNA from 1 species
GUGAGGAAUAUUGCGCAAUGGAGGCAACUCUGACGCAGCCAUGCCGCGUGCAGGAAGAAGGCGCUACGCGUUGUAAACUGCUUUUAACCGGGAAGAAACCCCAGGACGUGUCCUGGGUUGACGGUACCGGAGGAAUAAGCACCGGCUAACUUCGUGCCAGCAGCCGCGGUAAUACGAAGGGUGCAAGCGUUAUCCGGAUUCAUUGGGUUUAAAGGGUGCGUAGGCGGAGCGUUAAGUCAGUGGGGAAAUCCUGCAGCUUAACUGUAGACUGGCCAUUGAUACUGGCGCUCUUGAGUGCGCUUGAAGUGGGCGGAAUGUGCCGUGUAGCGGUGAAAUGCUUAGAUAUGGCACAGAACACCAAUUGCGAAGGCAGCUCACUAAGGCGAUACUGACGCUGAGGCACGAAAGCGUGGGGAUCGAACAGGAUUAGAUACCCUAGUAGUCC